UACGUAGGGUGCAAGCGUUAAUCGGAAUUACUGGGCGUAAAGCGUGCGCAGGCGGUGAUGUAAGACAGGUGUGAAAUCCCCGGGCUUAACCUGGGAACUGCAUUUGUGUCUGCAUCGCUGGAGUGCGGCAGAGGGGGAUGGAAUUCCGCGUGUAGCAGUGAAAUGCGUAGAUAUGCGGAGGAACACCGAUGGCGAAGGCAAUCCCCUGGGCCUGCACUGACGCUCAUGCACGAAAGCGUGGGGAGCAAACAGG
rnacentral:rRNA from 1 species